UCCCGGGAAGUCCUCGUGUUGCA
rnacentral:siRNA from 1 species